rnacentral:lncRNA from 1 species
ACACUCGCACGCACACGCUCCUCCGGCCCCGCCAUGUUCCGGGAGGCGGCGGCAGCCCAGCCCCGCCAGCCGCGGUGAGGGGCGCCCGCGACGAGGCCAGCUCGCGGCCCUCCGCCCGGCCCCCGCCCCGCCCCGCGCAGCGCCCCCGCCCAGUUGGCGGCUCCCACCUGCGCCGCGGCUCCUCGCGACGCCGGGAGGGGCGGCGGCGGGCGGGGCCCCGGCGGACCCGCGCCGGGGGGCACUAACGGCCUGUCACUGUCAGGCGAGCUACGGCUCGGGCCAGGCUGGGCGGGCGGCGCGUCGGGACCGGGGGGGGCGGGCAGGGCGCGUCCCCUACCUUGCUCUGGGGAGGGGGAACGGGAGCAGCGCAGAACUGAGGGGAUCUCCUCCCUGGCGCCGGGGACAAGCUCGAAACCGCGCCCCUCCUUCCUCCUUUCCUGUCGCCACGCCCCCCUCACCCGUACGGACCCGAGGCAAGGCCGGCGCAGGAGGCUUCACCCCCGGAACGAGUGCUUCGGCGUAGCCGUCGCUGUCGUUGUCUUCGUCGCCGCUGCAGCCGCCUGUAAAGCCGCCGGAGCCGGGCUUGAAAACAUCUCCGGUCUCGGUCCGUCUCUCACCACAGCCUCCUCGCUCCCAGGACAGCGUCGCCCCGCGAUUGGCUGCGACGCGAGCACGUGACACCCGCGGACACGUGACUACCGCGGGCACGGGACGGGCGGCGUGACCGCCCCGCCCCCCGGCGCCCGCCCCUCCUGCUGCUCAGCCAGGCUCCGCGAGCCGCAGGGCGGGGAAGCGGGACGUACCAAGCGGCAGGCGGCGGAGGGGUGCGGGCCGGAACUCCGCCCUUCGUGCUGGUCGGUCUCCACGCCCCACUCGGACUAGUGUCACCGCCUCCCCGCCGCAGACACUAUCCGACAAAGGAGGGGGAAUCAAAGGCUGGGCGAAGAGGCAGGGCAGGCGCCGGUGACGCUGCUGGGCAAGCGGGCUCUGCAGUAGCAUUUGUGGCGACCGUGGCAGUGGCUGUGACUGGAAGCUUCUGGAAAUGGCGGCGAUGAGGACCCCCACAUAGGGAUGGCCAUAGCAGCCACAAAAGGAAGCAAACAAGAACAAGUCCUGAUGGAGCAAUUUAUGAAGACAGGCAGCAUAGAGGGAGAAGAACCUGUCUGUCAACCCCACACACGCUUUCCCAGACGUCUCCUGAAAGCUGAGCAUUUGUUAUCUUAAAGCCUCUUACCAGUUUGGAUAGAUAUGGAUCUUCCAAAAUUAAUGAGCUCCUUAAUAUCGACACUGUUUAUCAACAUAAAGGAUCAAUUUAGGAAGAUUAUAAAAACUGAAGUUUCCGGAACAAUAAAUGGGAGAAUUAAUCUUCUGAAUCAAGGACGUAUCCCUGAAUCUGGGGAGCUCUCUAUCAAAAUAUACAUGCUGGAACCCUACCAAAGGAAUAAUAAAUCUGGAAUGAGGCUCUGACUGUCUAAUUAGGAAAAGACUCCUUCCUGGAAUUCUGCACAUCUCCCUACACCUUAGUGACGGUUAAAUAAAUAAUUAUUAAGCUUCUGGAUAUUUUUUGUUGUAAGGUUAGGUGUUUCAUGGGUUGGGGGGAGGGGCAGUAACAUUAAAAUAAAAGUCCCAAAUGUAAAGUGCAAAGAAUCUUGAGUCUAUUCCCUAUACCCUACACUUCCUGCCUUUCCCCCACACAAAUCCAACCCUAAAUAUAAUAGGACAAUAUAUAAAUACAUAUUUUUUAAGAGAUAGGGUCUCACCAUCUUGCCCAGGCUGGUCUUAAG